AGGUCAGGGGUGAUGGGAAUUCUAGUCCGAAAACAGCUGGAGACCGAGUUUGGAAAACACUGAAGGUCACAGGAGAUCCUUCUAUCACCAUAUUCACACAAGCUCGCCUUCCAACGAGUACUAGGAAAGGGAAGAAAAAACAGGAGGGCUUUCACGAUGCAGCCUGCCUGCCUUUUCUCUAGGUUAAAUCCGAAACUACCAGCGCUAAAGUGAGCUGUGAAGCGGAGAAUUUGGGUUCAGGGAACGGAAGCGGGUAAGUGCAAGGAGCCGCUUCUGCCCCACAGGGCGCUCUCCCCGCUAAUCACGAGGAGCUGAGGGGAAUCGGCCACGUGACUCGCCCCACCGCGCGAGUUCCUCUCGGUUGCGUCACUAUCGCCGCCGCGUUCCAAGAAGACGCGCCACGCGCGCUCGAACCAGCCGUUGACGGGAAGACCGUUAACGGACCGUUAACGGUUCGGGAAGCUGCCCCGCCCCGCCCCCGCCGCCUGCCUCAAGUCAGAGUAUACCGAGUCUUCCGUGACCAAGCUGCCCGCGGCAACCUACUCGCUGUCCCCAGCUCAGAACUGACCUAGGUAGAGUACUACCGGGAUGAAGCCCCACCGGAUGGCAAACUGCCCGCCCUUGAACAAGUGCUGCAGGCGCUGCUUGGACUCUUUGCUCAGCUUCGGCAUGGCGGCGGCCGCGUCGUCGUGUCGGAGGCAGCGAAGGGCAAGAGGCGAGGGGUGGUAAAGAAAGGCCUGCCUUUUGCUUCCUGGCGCUACGGCGCAUGCGCGUGGAGGGGAGGCCUACUCGGCGAGGAGAUGUUGUAGGGCAGCGGCGCCGCCUCAGGCCGGCUGGGAAAGGCGGGAACGGCAGCCGCUGCUGAGGAAACCUAGAGCCGAGCUUGCCGCGUAGGGCGAAGCGAAAAAGAAAUGUCUUGAAAUCGGCUCCGCUUCAUGACUGGCGGAUGAGGACGCGCCAAUAUUGGAUGGAAAUUCCUACAUUCAGGAGUCGGUUUUUUCCCCACCUUUUCCGUCGCAGUGGGUCCAUUUCGUUUCUCUUCCCGGCUAAUAGUAGUGCCUGCCUAUCUCCGCCGGAGUAAGUCGUGGCAAAUAUUCCCCCCUCCACCCCGUAUCUGAGCAUUACACACACGCACCUCGCUACACGCUUGUUCUUCACACAUGAUCUAGAACGGAGUUUCCCACCUCUUUAACAUCACAGAAUUGUUUUUUAAGGGCCAGCUCGUUACGUUUUUUCGUGGAAAAGUUGUUAGCACGUGGCAGUGGCGUAGCGUGGGUUGUCAGCACCCGGGGCAAGGCAAGUAAUUUGCGCCCCCUAACCCGUGGAUUUUAGCAGGGGGCAGGGGCAGAGAGCUGCGAGUGCGAGCACGCCCCCCCCAGAUGUUGCACCCGGUGCAGCCGGCCCCCCUGCACCCCCCACGCUACGCCACUGGCACGUGGACCGACCCUCGUGGUAGGCCAUCUACACUUGAGGUUAAGAGGGAGAAGGCAGGGGAUGUGAGUUCCGCAGGCUCCCUGGCAGACGCCGAGUGGAAAUUCAGUUUUGCUUCCAAAGCCCGCAUGGAAGUCAACAGCAUUUCCUUUUGCAUGUAAAUUCUGUGUUCUACCACUUGCCUAACCUAAGGUUACCAGAUUUUCCCGGGGACAGUCCCCGGAUUUACAAAUCAGUCCCCUGACAAAAUCCAUCUAUUUAGUAGGAAGUUGAAAAGUGACCCUGGAUUCAUUGAAAAAAAUCUGGUAACCUUAGCCUAACCCUGUUUGUCUGGAUUUAGCACUCUUGACAGGUGCUGCCUUCGAAAGUGGAUGUUCUGCCAUGUAUUUUUCUGCUGCUGCUUAAAACAUUUCCUGGCUAUUGGCCUUCACCAAAUGGUGUAGUAGCCAAUUAACGUUUGGAUGGAGAAAUAUUUUCAUUCACAUAUCUUGAACCUUCAACCGAGAAAUUAUUUUUUUUUAAAAAAAACCCCUUGAAAAAAUAAUUUUCUCUACACUAUCCACAGUUUUUUAAACCUUUGUUAUGUCCUGCUUUUGUCAUCUCUCCCCCCAUCCCCACCCCCUGGCUGAUGUUCAAGUAAACCAACCCUUGUAGAUCUGCCCUAUGAGUUUUGAUUAAAUUUGCAUAUGGGGAAAUUAUUGAAUAAGAAAAAAGCAUGCUUCCUUUGUUGGAUGGAUCAUGAAAUCAGUAUUGUAGAGUUGGAAGGGAUUCUGAGGGUCAUCUACUCCAACCCCCAGCAAUGCAGGAAUCACAACUAGAUCAUAUAUGCAAUAGACAUCCAAACUCUGCUUGAAAACCUCCAAGGAAGGAGAGUCCAUCACCUCUCAUGGGAGUCAGUUCCAUUGUUCCUGUCAGAAAGUUCAUCCUGAUGUUUAGUCAGACACUUUUCUUGUUAACUUGAACCCAUUGGUUUGGGUCCUAGGCUCUGGAGCAGGAGAAAACAAGCUCGCUCCAUGCAACAGUGUUUAAGAUAUUUGAAGAUGGCUAUCCUAUCUCCUCUCGGUCUCUUCUUUUCAAGCUAAACAUACCCAAUUCAUUCAACCAUUCCUCAUAAGACAUCUAUCCAGCAUCUUGUUCCCAGAUGCCAAAGGGUAUCCCUACAAGCAGAAUACGAGUACUUCAGCAGUCUCCCCACUUGGUGUGUUUAACAACUCAUAUUCAGAGACACAUUGCCUCUAACCAUGGAGGUAGUAUAAAACCACUAUGGCUAGUAGCCAUGAGUUUAUCUACAUGAAUUUGUCCAUUUUCCAUGAAUCUGCAGUGAAUUCAGAUGCCAUUAGUGUAUAGAUUUGGCCAGUACGUGUCAUUUUGCUCUUACCUGCAUUGAACCUGAUUUGCCAUUUUAUCAUCUGUUCACCCAGUUUGUAGAGACUUUUCUGGAGCGUUUCAGAUGCAGUAGGGAGAUAGCCUGUCUUGGGUUUCUUCUUAGCCUACCCUUCACUGAAAGAGUAUGAGCUGUUGCCUAUCUUUUGGGGCCAUACUUAACAAACUGGAGAAACUCUUUUGGGCAUCACACAAACACUGCAACCAAGCACUAAAACCGGUACUGAUAACUCCAGUAGAAUUUGGGUUUUCAGCAAGUGAGGCACCAGGGAAAGCAUGUGUGCCCACAGGUGCCACAUCAGCAUUUCCAGAUACACAUCUCGAUUAGAACAGUUACAUUUUAUCAGUUUUGCUUUGGCAUGAAUGUAAACCAAAUUGAAGUGCAGUUGAAUCUAAGUUAUGAAAUAUAUAAAUGAGCUAACCUGCCCAUUUCAGAAAUUUGAUUACUAUUUUAAAUUCUGCUCCUCUACAUACACUGAUACAGAAUUUUGGAGGCAGUCCUUGCACUGCCUUCCCAAAGCUGGGUAAAUGAGGUGCUAGGCUAGGCUAUGGGCAGGAGGCAUAAGGGCUCUUGCCAGGGUCCUAGAGUCCCUCCUUCUUCCUAAGGCGUAUUGAGCACUUUUCCAGCUUUGUGAAGGAGGUUAGAGAGCUCUUAAGACCCUGCCAGAGCCUUGCACCUCCUUUCAAAAGCCUGGCACCUUGAUUAGCUUAACUGGCUGGUGGGGGGGUGACCCAUGGGUUCCAUGUCAAAAUACUAUUGCAGCCCACUUGGUAUGAAGCUAGAGGCUUGUGUGCCUCACUGUUUAGAACCCAGCUUGGGAGAGUGACUUGUUGACCCACAAUCUACCCUAUUUUGUCAAUUGGACAUUUUAGGUUUGGGAGGCUGAAUAAACCCAGAACAGUUGUGUCCAGACUAACAAAUAUUUGCAGCAUAAAGAGCAUCCACAAACCAAGCAGAGCCCAUCCACUAGCUAGCUGGUUUUUUGUCUUUCAUACCUUCUGCACGGUUGAAUUCCAAAGCUGGGGUAAUUUGGAAACUUCUCAAACAGUCUCCAAUGUGACAGUUGAAGCAUUAGAAAAAUGUGUGAUCCUCUAAGAAGCAGCAAAUUGCAAAAUGCUUAAAAAUUGCCGUGCUAGGAGGAUAACAUUUAGCUGAGAGAGAAAGCUAUUAUUUACAGCACUGUAGUCUUGGUGUGCACAGCUUCUUAUACUUCUUCAAAUUCUAGCACAAGGAGUUUGCAGUAUAAAUUGCUGAGUUACUAAUUUGGAGUGGGAGGAAAGGAGGAAAAGAAAGGGGGGGGAAUGUAAUGUCUUAACUUAGCUGCUUUCUUGACAAGGUAUAUGUAGAAAUGUCAAAUUAUCAGGGCUCUUUUUCAGGAGGAACUCAGUUCUGGCACCUUUUGGGUGGGUUCUGGCACGUCUCAGGAGGGUGCCAUUACCAUUUAAGAGAACAAGGGAAGUGUUCAUGGUGAGUUCUGGCAACUCUAUUUCCAGAAAAAUAGCAUUGCAAGUUACUAACUACAUACAGUAGUAGCAGCUCAUGUUGGUGGCAGUUGCUUAGUUCUUAGUGUAACAUUUGAUGUUGGCCCAAAUUUUUGACUGCUUACAACUUUUAUUCGAGUCAGUGCUGUACAAGUUGUGCUACAGAGGCUGUAUAAAAUAAGGUCUAAGAAAUAAAAUUUAAAAAUAGCAAGGAUUUUCAGGAAGCUGAUAAUAAUUUAUUAAAAUGGUAAUUGAAGCUAAGACAUAAAUAUGAAUUCAACUCUAAAAAAAAGAUGAAUUUAAUCACUGGAGUUUCAAAGAAUGAGGAUUGUAUGUGAAGAUUAUCUUGCAUGAAGGUGGACCAACAAAAUACCUUUUCAAAUGUUAAUCCUAGAUUUCCUUUUUCUUUUUGUAGAUUCUGUAAUAAAAGAUGCAGACUUACAACAUUGCCAUGUCUUUACUUCCAUCUAAGGUAUAUUGCAAUGUUCUUGCCUAGUAUGAUGUAUUUCAUUUUCAGCUUAUGUCAUUGUGAAUAGAAUAUCUGGCCAAAGAUGAAAACCCUGAACUGAUUGUGGAUACUUCUGUACAGUGUUAAACACAGAUCUGAUGGCUCAAAGGAUUUUCUGAGGCCAGAUAGACAGAUAAAGUAUGUUUAAAUGUACCUUUGCAGUUAUUUUAAUUCUGUUUACUAGAUUUAUAGACACUUGUCUUUCUAGAAAACCUAGGUAAGUACAUCUAGGUUAACUAUUAGUAACCUAGGGGCAAUAUCAUAGUUUCAUAAAGUACAAAGCAGAGGUAACUAAUGAGGUACCUAAUGUGGUGACCUGCUGAUGUUGUUGGACUACAGCUCUUAACAACCAGGAACCAUACAGGCUUCCCCUGCUGUGAAAGGUUUAUCAUGUGUCACUUCCUCUUUCUUUCAAAAAGCAAAACCUACAGAAUAUAUUUAAGCUAAAAGGAAACAAAUAUCUCCUAAUACCAAGUUUUGCUAUUGCUUUUAUAUUCCUGGGUUCUUUUGGAAGGAAGGGUGAGAUACAAAUUUAAUAAAAUAAAUAAAUUUCUGUCACACAACUCCUUUGGGCUAACUUUAUUCCAUAGUGACCUGGCUGGUUCUAUGUGCCAAUGUGCAUCUUUGCAGAAACUGUUUCUCAAGAUAAUACAAUUUUAUGUUCCCUGUGCCCAAAGACACAAAGCCUUCUAAGACACUAAGCCUUCAAAUCAUUUCAAACAUGAUUUGAAAAGACACACCUUCCUUAGCAGUUUGGCUAGCUACUUUAUUCUACUUUAUUACUUUAUUCUGUUUCUGGAAAUAAUUUCCCUCUCCCUGUCUUCAGUAGAGUUUGCUUGUGCUACCUCUGAACCGUCUUCUGUACUACCAGCAAACCUCUGCCCUUUCUGAACUAAGGAAAGGGGCAAUAGUUAACAUAAAAAAGGUAAUAAAAGCAGAGCAUAAAUUUGGAGUGUGAGACUAGAGGAUGGUCAGUAUUUCAUAGCAAAAGGAGUACAGUUGCAACAUGAAAAAUGAUCAAGCAGGAAAUUUUGUUUUGCUAAGUUAAGUUGCUAAUAAUUUGAGGAAACUUACAAAAAUAUUUUAUUCUGGAGUUUUAGAAAGACGGAGGAGAUAGUCAACAGGAUAUCAAAGAGAAGUUCUUCAGAGUUCGGUUACCAACAGUGCAAUUCUACGCAGUCUAAUCGUUUAAUGGGACUUCCUACCAGGUAAGAGGGUAUAGGAUUGCAGCCUAAAGAGGGUUAGACAUUUAUGGAAAUGUGGAAAAGAAUUGUGGAAUGUAGGAUAAACUAGAAGUAGUUUUUCAAAGGUGUAUCAGCAGUUGGAAUUUACAUAAUUUGAAGCGUUUUUAAGACCAAAGGAGUUUGCUGGGAAAGAGUUUCAGGAAUAAGAUUUAAGGCAGCACAAUAUAGCAAGAGGAGCUAGGGGAAGAUGGAAUUUUAAAGAAAUGUUUGAAGUGCUAUUUUUUUAAAGUUCUGAUUUUUAAAUAAAAUAUUGAAUAAUAAAUUUAUAUUAAAUACAUAAAUAUUUAAAUAAAUUCAGAAGACAAAAAUGCAUAAACAUUUACUAAACUCUGUAUGUUCUUAACCAGAGGAAAUGGUAGAAUAUUGCCGUUUUAAAAGGGUAGUUUUAUCUUUCACCACUAGAUGGCAGUGUUUAACAGAAAAGACUUUAACUUCUGCCACAGUCUGCCGAUUUCUUGAAAAAGAUCACUUGAAUGAAGCCAAGGAUGAUGACGGGUAUUUAAAAUUCUGCAAUUCACAGUUUCUCCUCUAAAGGACAUCAGAAAACUUCAUCAAAAUUUGUUUGUCAAUCAAUCAAUCAAUCUUUAUUACGGUCCAGAGACCCAACAAGAAUUUGUUUGUCUAAGUUUGUCACUUUCAAUGUACAGAAUGCGGACAACCUCUCUUGAGACAUUAUGGCCCUUAAUUCAUUUUUAAUUCUUUUGAAUCUUGAAAAACUACUCUCUCCCGAGCUGUUAGUGACCAUAAAGCUAAGAAAUAGCCACAAAAUUGCUUCUACAUUAGGAAUAGCUUCUGGGUAUGCUUCCAUCAACAGUUCAACACCUUGCUGAAUUUCUUGUUUGGAUGCUAUCAGGAUAGCAAGAAUGGAAAAUAAUUGUGGAAUAUCACUGUACACAGUACUUUUUAAACUGGCUUCAAGUGCAUCCAAUAUAGGAAUAAAUGAUUUUAUCCUAAACUUAUCUCUUAAAGAAAGUGCAUCUAAGGCAUCAGGUGCACUUCUGUCAUUUCUUUGUUGUUCCCUCACUCUUUGUCUCCUUGUUUUGUGGUUAACAUUUGGCAAGGUUGCUUUUGCUUUGUUUCUCAAGCUCAUCAAAAUCUUCUCCAAUUUUCCUUUAAAAAAUCCAGAAGUGAACUGUACAAACUUGCACAAUAACUCAAUAAUAGGACUGAUUUCUGAAUGGCUUUGCUGACCUUGUGAAAAUGACUUGGCACAGGGAUUUAUAUCUCUAAGAUUUUACAGACUUUGGCUGUGAACUAGGGCCCCACAAAAAAAUUUCAAGUUGGGCCCUCGAGUUUAAAAUUGGGCCCCACUGGCUGGCCCUGAGUCUCAUAGUUGCUGGGCCCGAGUUGCCCUGCCCUUGCAUGAAGUCUUGGGUUUGCAAUUUGGGGAGAGGGGAGGCUGCCCGCUGGGGGGUGGGCGGGCUGGGGAGGCCCCCUGGAUUUAGAGGCCCUAGGCUUCAGCCUACUUAGCCUAUACAUAAAUCUGGCACUUUCUAGCCCACUCAGGGUAAACUCAGUCACCUUACUAUGCAAUCAUUACCGUAUGGAAAAUACAACUUGUCCUUCCUUAGAAUUUAGACACAAUGAUACAGCUUUUCCCCAGCUGGCAUAAUAGUUUUCCAUUUCUGAUUGUCUUUUCAUUGCGAAUUUUACAGCAUUUUCUGUAAUUUUAUUAUAGACAUAAUCUCUGCCCUGAGCCCGUAGGGUGAAGGAUGGACUAUGAAAAAAUAAACAUCAAAGCUUUUGAGUGUGCAUACUUAGCAAACAAAAUUAGCAAAACAAUUGCAAUCAUAUUACUCAAAGUCUUUAGCAUACAGAAAUCUGGCAAAAUGACUGUUGUACCUUCUGUGCUUCCGCAUAUAUAAAUGCUUUUUCAGCAGGCUUCAAGCCAGUGAAGCAACUUCCCAUUUAUUACAGUGACCUCUAGUCGCUUUUUACUAGUAAUUUCAUAUAUUAGCUUGUGUUGGUCCAGGAGCCAGAAAGUUCUGUGUGAGUUGUAAGCACUUAUUUUCUUGGACAGGACAGUGAGCAGAAGGGGAAGAAUGACUAUUAACCAGUAUUUCCAAUAACAGCCAUUUGUGUAAUAUUCCAGGAGCAGCUUCACAGGGGUGCAAGUGCCUGUAGUGUGAGAGGAGAUUGGGAAAAUGCCCAUUGUAAGCUUGGAACUCCACAUCCUGGCCAUGGAGUGAAGCAUGAUAUUUAUUCCAUGAUUUCAAAAAUGAAUGGCACUACAACAUUUGGUAUCAGAUACAGAUUUCAUCAGGCACAUUAGCGUUGAGCAGAAAGUUGACAAAGGUUGGAAUUAGACAGCAACCUCAUGCUGACUUUUCCUGUUUUUUACCCAUAAGGCCAAUGGGAGUUGUAGCGUUAACAACAUCUGGAGGGCCACAGGCUCCCCACCUCUGCCAUAAAGUUUACCCAUGUUGUUUCUCCACCUUGUACCUGAUCUACAUGGUUCACCACUGGUGGCUGAUUGUUGGUAGUUGUGACGGGGACAAGCAACAUAUGUAAGUAACUACAUAUGUAGUCAAUAUGCCCAUGGAUGGAAUAUGCUUCUGCACAGUGAACAUCGAGACUUUCAAUUAAGAGUACUUCCCUCCACCCACCUUAUCAGGAUGACCUCCACUAUGUAACUAGUCCUCCAGUUACUUUAUAUAGCCCCUGUUAUCAAUAGUUCAAAUAGAACAUUUAGCAUUCUUAAGAUAUAAGAACAUAAGAAAAGCCCUGCUGCACUGGCCCAAAAGGCCCAUCUAAUCCAGCAUCCUCUUCUCACUGGCCAACUAAAUGCCUAUGAGAAGUCUGCAAGCAGGACCUGGGUUCAACACUGCACUCCUCAUUUGUGAUUCACCAAGGCAUACUGUCUCUGGCAUCUGGCAGUAGAGACAGAACAUCAUCCAUAAAAGCUUGUGCCAUAAUAAAAGUGCUAGUCUUUUAAAAUGCCAGAAGACUAUUGUAACAGAAAUAAAAUACAUCACACCAUAGUGGGGAGGACAGUGACCAGAUAUGCUGUACAAGUACAAACUGUUGAAGGACAAUCUUGCCCUCCCUACGUGUGGUUCUUUAGCUUUAAGUUGAAUUUGAUCUAGUUGAGAUUCCUGUGUUGCAGGGAGUUGGACUAGAUGACCCUCAGGGUCCCUUCCUGUUCUGAACCACAGGGCCAAAGGAGAACCUGUGUGAGUGGAUGCAGGGAUAUCAAAGGAGUGAUAAAUUCUAGUGUUGUAUUAAAAGAAAGGUGUAAACUUACAGCAAAUCAGCCAACCAGGUCUCCCAGGCUUUACAGGCACGGGACAGGAACUGCAGCAAAUAGAUGGCUUGUCGCCAGCUAAGCAAACAUUCAUACAUUCUUUAUACACAAAAGUCACUUUGCCCAGGACUUCAUAUCACGUCAUGAGGGCAUAGGUGGCAAAUAAAGAUAGUUCCCCUUUCUGGGCUCAGAGCCCAGCACUCCAGUCCCACAGAUAACAUCAAAACAGUCCAAUUAGCUUAAAGCAAGUGAAUAUAAACAUAUAUGAGGUCAUUGUUACAACAACUGCCAAUUAAUUGUGGGGUUAUCUUGACUACCAUGAUGGUGUUGCAGAGCUUCUGGAACAGUUCACCUUUGGUUCAACACAAUUCCAACUCUACAAUUCUAAACCUUUGGUUCAACACAAUUCCAACUCUACAAUUCUAUGAUUCUAUGAAAUGGAGGAUUCCUUCACAAUGUAUAAUUCAUAUAUUACUGAAAGAAGAACACAUAUUAAGUGGCUCCAGAAAGAAAACAGUAACUUAGGACAUUUUAGGGAUGGAUCUUGGAAAGGAACAAGUGAAGGAAAACAAUGUAAGAAGAAAGUGCCUUUGUGCAACAACGAACUGCUUUUCUUUUAACAUUCACUAAACAGAACUGUCCUCAAUUCUGGGAUAAGCAUUAAGAGCUUCCAGGGCAGAGGAUGAAGGGCGCCUCUGCCAAUUCUAGAACAGUUUCUAAACAGUAUUGUGAACAAACUGAAGCUUUAUUAAGCCUUGCUGCUGGAGGACCAGCUGAAUGCAUCACAGAAUUCUAAAGCAAUAGAUUGUCUGCAGUCCAAUUAAACAGUUUGGUGAGUUACCUUUCAGAACAAUAUUCUUCAUAACAUUUACUCUACUUGCCCUAUGGGCUAAGGGGAGGGCAUGUCAGGAACAUUUCAAUGCUUGUUGUACACACACCCCAACCAUCCUAUAUAGAACAGCACUGACAGCACGAGCUUUUAACAUUUUUUCCUUGAAAAGACAUUGUGUUGGACCAUACUUCAGUUCCAAUCACUGGGGGUGGUUAGUCAUGACAAGUCCUAUUGUUUUUAAUUUAAACUCUGUGCAACUAACAGUCUGGAGCAACCUGUUGCUUUAUCUGACAUUUAGGAAAGCCACUUCAAAACAUCCCCAUCUGUCCACCUUUGAAAUCAAGAAAGGUGUGGUGGCCUGGGACUCGGGCUCAGACUCAGAGCUGGAGGAGUCUCAAUCCGCACCGGAUCCUCUGCCUCAGGCGGCAUCUGAACUGAGUCUGGGGCCUGAUUCUGAAGAGCCCCAGUCUGCACAGGUUCCCCUGCAACAAGCACCAGCAGGGCUGAGUCAGGAGCCUGAGCCUGCCCCGGCUCCAGAUGUGAGGAUUAUCUCGUUGCCCUCUGCUGUGCAAUCACAUACAGCUGCUCCACUACCAGUUGUGUCAGGAGAGGCUGAGGCAGCCUCUGGGUCUAGUAACCCACCGACAUCUCCCGAGCUGCAGAGACUCAGGUCUGAGAGAAGGAGAGACCUGAGUACUCGCAGGAGAAGUGCUCGCCUUCGGGCGAGACAGGGAGGUGAGUCACCGGGGGAUCAGGACCGGCCGUUAUCCCGUCAGAGAUAAAAGGCUGCCGGACCCUGCCCCAGGUUGCGGGAGCAACAUUGCUGCUUGCUGGAACCUGCUUGAGACCUUGUGCCUGACCUAGCCCGGUUUCCUGCCUUGGCCCUCUUGGACUGACUCCUCAUGGAAUCCUUGGAUUCGUGACCGAACCUGGACCGCGUGGCUUGGAUUAACCCUCGGGCCUAGCACAGUUUGCUCCCACCACAACCCGCACUCCCCCUUCCUGGGGGUGUGUUCGGGUAAUUCAGAAACCAUGGCCGACCCGGUGGCCGCGCUGGCGACCUUGGCUCAGGACAACCAGACCAUGACCCAUACCAUCCAGCAGUUGAGUGACACCGUCACGGCGUUACAACAGCAUUUGGCAUGCCGUAUUGAUGAAUAUCAUUGAAGAGGUUGGCAAGUUGGACAACAGGAGAUUGCUUGAUACUGCUGGCUUCUAGAACCACUUUGUAUCACUAAUAUAUUGGAAAAUAGUCACAAUACAAAGUUUGGUGGGGAUAUAGGCCUUCUAAAGAAUAAUAAUACAUAAUCUGCCUUGCUGUCAAAAUCCUGGUGAACAAGAUCUAAAUCUAAUGUACACUUGGCCUGUAUGAGAAUCUGUUACAUUCUUACUACAGUGGUACCACAGGUUACAUACGCUUCAGGUUAUGUACGCUUCAGGUUACAGACUCCGCUAACCCAGAAAUAGUGCUUCAGGUUAAGAACUUUGCUUCAGGAUGAGAACAGAAAUGGUGCUCCGGCGGCGCGGCUGCAGCAGGAGGCCCCAUUAGCUAAAGUGGUGCUUCAGGUUAAGAACAGUUUCAGGUUAAGUAUGGACCUCCAGAACGAAUUAAGUACUUAACCCGAGGUACCACUGUAGAAGGAUAGCCAAUGUUGGGCCAUCCAGAUGCUGUUGGACUCUUAACUUUCAUCAGCCCCACACAGCAUGUCCAAAGAUCAAGGAUGGUGGGAGAUGGAGUCCAACAUCUGGAGGGUGCCAAGUUGGCUACCCAUUGUUUAGUAGCAUAAACUCAAUGGCAAAAAUGCAGUGAAAACACUGAGUAUGUUCUACUAGCAAUGGUGCUGGUGGGGAAAAUGUGAAGUUAAUGUGGUUUGAAGUAGAAGGAAAAUCAAAGGCGUUCGAAGACAGAAUACAUUCUAUUUCUACAACAAAUUUUCCUCUGAAGUCAGUUGCUGCUUUACAGUACAAGAUUCAUUUAACAGGGUUGAGCAGGACAACAUACAAAACGUUACUCUGGAUAAUUCAGCAUUGAACAAACUAGUUCCGUAGACCACCAUAUAGAUCAUUAAAUAAUGAGCAACAAUGAUACUUUAUUCCUAAUGAGAACCGCUAACUUAUAGAGAAGCACUCUUCUGUAGUGUUUUAUUUGAAGUAUAAAUGAGUCAUCUACCCCGAUUGCUGGGGGUAGGAUGCAAGCCUAAUACGUUUUUAAAAAGACACAAAGCUGGCAUUAUUAUAUUGGAAAUCUAAAAAGCAAGCAUGUGUUCAAGAAUGUAAUUCAGAAGCAAAAUGCAAAAAUCUUCUUGACUAAUUAGAAACGCACCGUCUGGCAGAAAGACAGAUUACUCCUACUAUAAGUCUGACACUAGGAAUGAUAGUCCUGAUUACAGGCAAGCAUGCCAGGACUGCUUUCUCACCACCCCUCUACCCACACUGAGAUGAUAACUUCCCAGCCCAUGUCAGCACGGUACAUACGCUUCAGAAGUCAUGGAGUGACUACAGCAGUUUUCCCUGUGGAUUCAUUGUAGUUUCAAACUCGGCACUUUAAAGAGCACCUUUCGUUCCGAGUCCUCAUUCAUUUUAUGUAUGGACAGUAGGCUAUCCUAGUCCAAUCCCCUGUACAACUUAAGGAAAUUCAGAGCUAGGGCAUCCUCAACAGAUACUGUCCAAGAGCUGCUUGAAGAUUUACUGUGAGAGAGCCACUAUAUAUAAUUUGUAAAUGAAAGGAGAACAGGGGACUUAUAGCAGACCUGAUCAGUCUUCUCUAACAUGGUGAGAUGUAUUAUGUAUUUCUAUUUAAACAAUAGUAAUUUCUAAAUUUCCAUGUAUGCAAAUUUGUCCCCUCUCUUUUUGGGGAAGAUGCAUUUCCUCUUGGCAGUGUGCAAGCGGACAUCCUCUGCAGAAGUUUCAAGUGUCAAAUAAGACAUAUCUAUAACAUUUGUACUUUCUCAAGCCUUCCGACUAUUUCAGAAUGCAUAGCAGGACACAGCCAAUCCUUCUGCACACAGCAUUUUCAUGGUUGAAAUAUCCCUGUCACUUUUAGCUCUGUGGAGGAAGACGUAUGUGUACCUGUAUAUUUUGCCUUGAAGGGCAAAUAGCAGUUAGUGGGCUGGUGUAAACCAGAAGCAUGAGACAGAAAGGGAGUGGGGAAAUGCAAACUCCCCCAGCUACAGCACUCCUCUGCCCUGUAAGUGAGAACACACCUGGGCUUUAGAUAAAGUGGUUAAAAUAACUUUGGUUCCCCCCUCCAGGAAACAUUUUAAAUCCAUAACAUAUAGGAUUUCAGCCGUAAGUAUUAUCUCCUUGUAGCGGGAAGUGACACAGACUCUGGUUUCCUGGGCUCACCAGUUCUCUAAGCCAAGCUAACUCACUGGCUGGCUCUGGCUCUGAUUGGUUAGAAAGAGCCAGAGGGCACACCCACCAUUGUCAGCAGAGAGAGCAUUUAAAAGCCAAGGUUCCCUUGCAGCUUUGUUUCAUCUCAUUACAAGGGAUCUAGGCCAUGUCUUCCAAACUACCAUGAUGUUGAUUAUCCUCAUGGCCUAUUCAGACUAGAUCUAGUAUACAAAAGUGGACAGGUCAGAAUUCAGGGGCAGCCCAUCCCAUUUUGCUGCCUGAGGAGAAAUGGGAAGGUGCUGCCUCCCCUGCCGCUCCCCCACCAAAGUCUUGCUUACCAGAGUUGUGCAGCAGCAGGGGCACCACCCAGCAGGAUUCCUCUACCCAAAACAGCUGCUUCCACCCAUUUCAUGGGUGGGCUGGCCCUACCAAGAGUAGUUUAGUUGUGGAGCCACAGUGCUCAAUUUAUUUUGUAUUCUGUUUGACCUGUUGCCUGCUUUCCCCACCUGUUAUUUCAAGUAAAGUUCCACGGUUGAGCUAGUGGAGUCUGUGUGUGAUUGCCCCUCAGGCUUUGGGAAUCCUCACAUGUGUAGAUCUCUUUGGUUCCAGAAGGCCAGAGUGGUAAAACCAGAAAUUUGCCUUAUUCUCAGGAAGAAACAGAGGGCUGGAGAGCUGGCUUUAUGCUCUGUGCAAAUUGCAAAGGAUUGGUUGGAGUCGUGGUGUGUGCUGGUCCAGGAUUCUUGGCUUUAACAAUUACUACUACUAGUAGUACUACUACUAGUAAUAAUUACUUAUACCCCGCCCAUCUGGCCGGGCCUCCCCAGCCACUCUGGACGGCUUCCAACGGGAUAUUAAAAACACAAUAAAACAUCAAACAUUAAAAACUUCCCUAAACAGGGCUGCCUUCAGAUGUCUUCUAAAAGUCAUUGUUUCUCUCGUUUCUAGGGUUGUAGGUGACUUUUUAAAAAAAGAGGUGGUGGCAGCAACUACUGUACUAGAUAGUAAGAUCUGACUGCCAGCAGGGCUAUUGAGCAGCAGUUGGGGAAGGAAGGGUAUGGGAGAGGCUCCUUUGAAUAUCCCCCCCCCCUUCCCCACAGGGAAAAUUUAGAUAAGAAAGUUACAGAUAGCUGAGGUUAUAUUAUAAGAAAUGCAGCUAGCAUCAGCAUAUGAAUAUGCAGAAAAUUCCCUUUAUACCCUUAUCUAAGACCAAAAUUACAGAGUGCUCAAAAAGUAAUUGCAAACCAUAAUUAGCCAUUGUAACAAGUUUUCGCACCACACAAAAAAGCAAUGGUUUCUGUUUAUACAAAUGGAUUAGAUUUCAGCCCAGUGCUGUCUGUUCCACAUAUUUCGUAAUUUAAGAAAUUAAAGAUUCUCUAGCUGUUAAUAUAUCAUUAUUAUGAUAACCAGAUUCAAAUAAUUAUAGUGCAGCAAAUAUCCUUGCUUGUUAAAAGGGAUAUUAGUGUUAAAAAGUACACAAGUUUCAUUUAUUUACCAGCUCAUGUUUCGUAGAAAUUAGUCAUAACCAGUGUUCUUGAGACACGUUAUAUACUAGGCAUACAAGAGGGGGUGGGGGAUUUAUUGCACACAGCAUUGUUUGACUCAAGUCCAUCAUGAAUAGUGUCUGAAACAUGCAUAUAGAAAUGGCAUACUGAGUUUUGUAACAAUAUUGGCAACGAGUGAGUUUCACGCAGUCAAAAAGAAAGUAUUUUCUGUCUCAUGUGACCCCCUAUAGUACAAUGAGUUGGUACUGUGCGGUGAUUUGAUGCUUCAUAGAUUAAUCCACUGGGAAACUUCUCAAGCCAACAUGAAAAGUUUCCAUCUAUUCAGCUUAAGAGCUGGCAGCUGCUGUGCAUUUUGAUGUUUCCAUAUGGCAUCAAAACAUUGUGCUGCAGCGUUCAGUAUGGUUUUAAACAAAAUGGCAAGGCUAUCCAUGUAUGACGGUUACAACAAAAUCUAUUUUAAUCAGGGAAAGCACCUGUUUGGAAUCUUUCAAUCCAGUGAUUUCAAAUCUGAUGAUUUCAAAUGUUAAUUUUAGUUUUUCAAAAUAUAUGAUGGGUUGCUGUAUUCUCUUUGAAUACAUAUUUUAAAAGCUAAUCUAAUGGACACUUUCUUUAGAAGUGGACAUAAGUGCUGGGGGUCUUGGAAGUCCUACCCCUCACUGGAAUGCAUCACUCAGAAAGCAUUGUAGGAAAAAGCAAUUUUUCUACCUUGGACUAAGGAAGUCUCUUGCUGUUAUGAUGUGGAUCCAGGAGAAGGGAGAUAGGAGAAAGCAGGUGGAUGAAAAGCUUAUAAACAGUGCAGAAAAAGCUCACCUGCUCUGUGUAGCUCCUCGUUUUUGUCAUACUAACCCAACACUUUCUGCUCCAGCUGUAAGGAACUCUGUAGGCUAGGAUGACUAAUCAAGGCCCUCCAGAUGAAGUAUAAUUCCUGUCAUCUGUGACCAUUGGCCUUGUUGCCUGGGGCUUAUGGGAGCUGGAGGCCAACAAUAUUUGGGCAGCCAUAGGGUAAUCAGGCCUGCUAUAGGCCCUAUUGUCAGCAGUGAAACUGGGCAGUGCAUUUUGGCUCAUGUAUUUGUGCCUAUACAUACAGGAAUAAAUUGGCAUAUAGGCUCUAAUUAGCAAUUGAGCACAAAAAGAACAAACAGCAACAUGGAAGGGGCAGUAAUAGUAGCAACCACUAUUUUAACUACUGGAAGAGGCUUGAACUGGGGGAACAGGAAAAUUCCCAUAUCGGGUUUUGGAGUGGCUAUAAGCAGUAGAAAUGUUGUGAAAUUUGACUAGAACAUGGGAGGAUUGCAUCAGAGGUGAGGACCCUUAUGAGCUUGAGGCCUACAUUCCCUUAUGGCAACUUUCUGAUAGCCACAUGCCAGCUAUAGGCAGAGUGUGAGGCCGAAGUGAGCAGUGCAAUGAAUAUUCAUUUCCCCUUUGUAAAGUAGGCUAGCUUGUACACACUCAGGUUUCAUGAAUACUGAACUACUUACGCACUAAUGGAAAGGAGUCCAUUCUGCACAACAUAUAAGAAUUAGUUUAAUUAGACACUAAUGACAACUUUAUCUAAAUUGUUAGAGCAAUUUUAAAUAAUCCUCUCUAGUGCAAUUUGGUGUAGAGAUUUACAGUGUUCUACAAUCCUUAGCAAUCACUAGUAUCCUGGGCAGCUCCCCAAUAGCUAAGAAUCUAAAACCAAGUUAAAAUCCCCAGAUGGCUUAUGUUUUGCACAUUAGAAGAUCUUGUUCUAAUUUUAAUUUCCCUUUGCUUUGCUUUCUUCCUCACCUGUUUGUUCAUUCUAAUCCUGGCUUUGACGCAAAAGCAGGAUUACCACAAAGCAAAACGCUUGUGCUCAAGAAGUGCAUAGUUCAGGCCGGGAAUUUGAGCUGUAGAGUACCAAUACUCUAUCAGUUAUAGUGGCGCCUUGUGAUGUUACAGGAACACAUUUUGAAAUAAAUAUAGGAUGAGUUCUAAUCACAUCUGAUUACUUAGCAUUCCACUGUUGUUUUGGGAUGCUUUCUGCAAGAGGAAAAUUUGGGGGGGGGGGGAGUGCUUUUUGCAAAAUGAAACAGAACAUCAGACACAUUACUCAUCUAUAAAGAAAGAGAAUUUAGAUUGUUCAUCACCCAUCUCAUUCUUUAAGAAAUCAGUGCUGUUACCUGAGAUGCAGCAGAAUGGACUCCCAUUUGGUGUUUAAAUCCACUGGAGAGACAGCUCAUACACUAUUUUCAGGUAAGUAUAGCAGUUUGCCUGGCCCAUGCCCCUCAUCUCCAUCCUGUGCAACUUCUCAUGCAAGGUAAAUGUUCUAGAAAUAGGUAUCCAUGUGAAUGGGCUUCCUUCCAUGUGCACCUGCCCUUUCUUAAGAGAUGGAAUUACACAAGUUUUGUUCCCAUUUAUGAAACCAUUUGGUGAAAGGGUACAUGAACAUGAAGCUGGAUGGCUUUCCUCCCACUGCAUGCAUGCUCUUGGUUUCUUUCUCCCACAUGAUUUCCCUGGAGAGACCAACUGGAACAUGUUCAGCCAAUACAUUUUUCAAUAGCUUCUAGACCAACUUAGUUCCUCUGAUUUGGGUUCGGACUUAAAGUAACUGAACUUGUGUCCCAUAGAUUUUAGUGGAACCUGAGUGAUGGUUAACUUGUCCCUUUGAUUUCAUUGGGAACUUAAAUGCAACAAGUCUGAAUCCAACCCUCUGUACUGAAUGAAACCCAGACUACUUCAGCAAAUCCUGUCAGACUGGACAUUUGCACAAAUGUUCGCUUCCUGCAUACACACAACUAUCCACAUAGAACAUUUGCAGUUGUAAAAACACUGCAAUCCUGACACAAUAGUCACACACCUUCACAUAGAUUAGCAUUUUCAAUUAUGUCCUUAAGAAAUUAGGAAAACUCUUAAGUUGUUGUUUUUCCCUAUUUACCCAAAACUGCCUAUUGAAAUGAAAGAACACAAAGAAAAUUUGCCAGAACAACUCUGGGUUUCCCCCCAUAAAAAAGCUCAACAGCUCUGGUCUGUCCUCCCCCCACAAAGCUCAACAACUGUGGGCCCUCCACUCUAAAAAAACACACAAAAAAAGACAAUGAGUAGAUCACUGCCAGUUUUAUACUGGGAGUAGAUCGCAGUCUCUAUAGAGAGUUGGAUGUGCCUGCUUUAGGGCAACUCUCACACUUAAAAUUAAGGGGCCUUACAUACUUUGUGAUCGGUUGGAAUAUAUAAAUUUAAUACCACCAUUACAGGCCACCUUUUAAUAAGCAACUCUUCCUAAUCUAGUUUACAUAAAACAUUGGUCAUCCGUUUGACAAGUAGCUAUCCAUUUGACAUCAUUUCUAAAAUAUGCAUCCUUUGGUGCCUUGAUGUGGUUUUGCCUUUGGCCUACUGAGCCAAGGAACAGGCCUCAGAACAAUGCAGAAGGGUGCAGCCUUAUGUCAUGGUCAGGCCUACAGUUCAUCUUGUCCCUGUCAGUGAACUGUGCCAUCUGUUUCACAGGCUGAACAUCUAUGACCUAAAUCAUCCAAUACCCAAAGGGUCAAGAGCUUCUGACUUUACUAGGAGCAACUCAACUCAAGAAUCUGCAGAUAGUUGGCAGGUGAUUUUAGGUGGGAACCUGACUGGGUGGGGGGAGAAUUAAACUCUCUCCACAGCCCCGGCAGUAGCUGUUUACAUAACAAAAAGUUCAUGUAAUCAUCACAUUUCAUUUGUCCAUUAGCAUGUGCACUAAUCAUACAAUCUUUUUAGCUUAGUAAUACUGCAAAGAAAGUACUGGGGUAAGAAGGAACAAUUUUUACCACAUUAGGAAGUGUUUUUGAGAAGAAAUCCUACAUUCAUCUUAGUCUCUUUUGUGCUUCAAACCAUGAAGAUUGGAAUUUAUUUUACCCAUUGGUUUUACUUUAUGCAGUUGCAUGAACUUAAGAAAAAUGGAUGCAGCUGCACAGGAGGGAAAUGCUAAAUUACAGUUCUUACCAGGAAUAUAAAAACUUUGGGGAAAGGGAACAGAAAGAUCAAGGCUCAAAAGUUUACUCACAAUUUAGCCAUCUUAGAACCACCCAAUUGAGUUGACCACAAAGGAUAAAAUUCUAAUACAAGAGCAGUGGUAACAACUGAUGAGGUAAAAUUCUGUUGAAAGUUGUAACCCCCAAUUCCUAGUGGAUCUGGCAACUGCAUUGAGUGGAACACAUCAACCAGCAAAUGGGCUCAAUGAUCAGAUCCCUGCGCUGUGCCGCACCAAACUUACUAUUCUGUAUUCUGUAAAUAAAGUAGUCUUAUUUC